UACGUAGGGUGCAAGCGUUAAUCGGAAUUACUGGGCGUAAAGCGUGCGCAGGCGGUUGUGCAAGACCGAUGUGAAAUCCCCGGGCUUAACCUGGGAAUGGCAUUGGUGACUGCACGGCUAGAGUGUGUCAGAGGGGGGGUAGAAUUCCACGUGUAGCAGUGAAAUGCGUAGAGAUGUGGAGGAAUACCGAUGGCGAAGGCAGCCCCCCUGGGAUAACACUGACGCUCA
rnacentral:rRNA from 1 species